rnacentral:lncRNA from 1 species
GGAUGCGAUCAUACCAGCACUAAAGCACCGGAUCCCAUCAGAACUCCGAAGUUAAGCGUGCUUGGGCGAGAGUAGUACUAGGAUGGGUGACCUCCUGGGAAGUCCUCGUGUUGCAUUCCUUUUUUUUGUUUGUUUUUUCAAAAGAAAGGUCUUUCUUUUUAUUUUUGGCCGUUCCUUUGUCAUAUUUUCUCCGCGUUCCUAGGCGGCGCCGUCGAAGGAGCUAUGGGCAGGCCGUACACGGAGGCGCGGGCAUAAAGGGGAGGAGAACGCACGGUAUGUCGGAUGCGAUCAUACCAGCACUAAAGCACCGGAUCCCAUCAGAACUCCGAAGUUAAGCGUGCUUGGGCGAGAGUAGUACUAGGAUGGGUGACCUCCUGGAAAGUCCUCGUGUUGCAUUCCUUUUUUUUGUUUGUUUUUUCAAAAGAAAGGUCUUUCUUUUUAUUUUUGGCCGUUCCUUUGUCAUAUUUUCUCCGCGUUCCUAGGCGGCGCCGUCGAAGGAGCUAUGGGCGGGCCGUACACGGAGGCGCGGGCAUAAAGGGGAGGAGAACGCACGGUAUGUCGGAUGCGAUCAUACCAGCACUAAAGCACCGGAUCCCAUCAGAACUCCGAAGUUAAGCGUGCUUGGGCGAGAGUAGUACUAGGAUGGGUGACCUCCUGGGAAGUCCUCGUGUUGCAUUCCUUUUAUUUGUUUGUUUUUUCAAAAGAAAGGUCUUUCUUUUUAUUUUUGGCCGUUCCUUUGUCAUAUUUUCUCCGCGUUCCUAGGCGGCGCCGUCGAAGGAGCUAUGGGCGGGCCGUACACGGAGGCGCG